rnacentral:rRNA from 1 species
UACAGAGGUCUCAAGCGUUGUUCGGAUUCAUUGGGCGUAAAGGGUGUGUAGGUGGCGCGCUAAGUCGGGUGUGAAAUUUCGGAGCUUAACUCCGAAACUGCAUUUGAUACUGGCGUGCUUGAGGACUGGAGAGGAGACUGGAAUUCAUGGUGUAGCAGUGAAAUGCGUAGAGAUCAUGAGGAAGACCAGUGGCGAAGGCGGGUCUCUGGACAGUUCCUGACGCUGAGGCACGAAGGUCAGGGAGCAAACGGG